GAUGCCGUUUUUGACUGGAUUUUACUCCAAAGAUGUGAUUUUAGAAGUUGCCUAUGCAAAAUACUCUU
rnacentral:tRNA from 1 species